GUGAACGCUGGCGGUAGGCCUAACACAUGCAAGUCGAACGGCAGCACAGUAAGAGCUUGCUCUUACGGGUGGCGAGUGGCGGACGGGUGAGGAAUACAUCGGAAUCUACUUUUUCGUGGGGGAUAACGUAGGGAAACUUACGCUAAUACCGCAUACGACCUACGGGUGAAAGCAGGGGAUCUUCGGACCUUGCGCGAUUGAAUGAGCCGAUGUCGGAUUAGCUAGUUGGCGGGGUAAAGGCCCACCAAGGCGACGAUCCGUAGCUGGUCUGAGAGGAUGAUCAGCCACACUGGAACUGAGACACGGUCCAGACUCCUACGGGAAGCAGCAGUGGGGAAUAUUGGACAAUGGGCGCAAGCCUGAUCCAGCCAUACCGCGUGGGUGAAGAAGGCCUUCGGGUUGUAAAGCCCUUUUGUUGGGAAAGAAAAGCAGCAGGUUAAUACCCCGCUGUUCUGACGGUACCCAAAGAAUAAGCACCGGCUAACUUCGUG
rnacentral:rRNA from 1 species